AGCAGUUUGAUCCAAAGUCCCAAACAGUUUGUCUAAAAGGUGUUGUCUCUCUCUGUGCAGUGGGUGGAGUCCAUCCCUCCCUGACGGUGCUGCCCCCCUCCAGAGAGGAGCUGCAGCAGGGGAAGGCCACGCUCAUGUGUCCGGCCAACAAGGGCUUCCCCUCAGACUGGAGUCUGUCCUGGAAGGUGGACGGCAGCAGCAGCAGCUGGGAGGAGAGCAGGAGCCCCGGGGUGCUGCAGGAGGACGGCCUCUACAGCUGGAGCAGCACCCUGAGGCUUCCUGCAGACCAGUGGAGGAAGGUGGUCUCUGUGAGCUGUGAGGCCACCCAGGGCUCCCAGACUCCACUCUCUGAGACCCUGAGGAGAGACCAGUGUUCCCAGUCCUGACCUCACCCACUGGGAGCAUCUCACUGCUUCUACUCUGCUGAUCCAGUCUUUAUUUGAUGUGUUUCAGUCACAGUAUUUAGCAGCUUGAUGCAGUGUUUAAAUAUUAUUUCUGUGCUUCUAAAUGGAAACAUUUUUCUGUCUGCUGCAGUCAUCAACACUCUUUUGUUUUUCUCUUAAACUGAUGAUGUUUUUCUGACUUUUGCGACUGUGAUUAUUUCAAUAAAAACCUGCUCAUAAAGUCGUUUCUUUUCUUGUGUUUCUGUGACUGAAACUAAUCUAAAUGCAGAGGGGUUCUAUAUUAUACAUGACAUCAGAAACGAGGAGUUUAAAAUGCUGUAAUUCAAGAAAAAAACACCAGAAAAUUAUGACAAUUAUACAGUUUCUCAUUCAACCAUGAGGAUAAGUAAACCCAUACAUUGCUCCAGAUUAGUUCACAUUCUGGUAAAAUUUCAAGGAAAACAGUGUUUGAGACUGUAAAAUGGUUCAAUUCUAAUUAAAUAAUCAGAAAGUAAUUCUACUGGAGUGAUU